rnacentral:sRNA from 1 species
UAGGUAUGAUAACCUAUGCGUUCCUUGC